UUUCCAGCAGCUCAGUCGGUAGAGCAUGGGACUCUUAAUCUCAAGGUCAUGGGUUCGAGACCCACCUUGGAGAA